GAUGAACGCUAGCGGCAGGCCUAAUACAUGCAAGUCGAACGGUAACAUGAGUAGCAAUACUUGAUGACGAGUGGCGCACGGGUGCGUAACGCGUAUGCAAUCUACCUUUAACUGGUGAAUAGCCCGAAGAAAUUCGGAUUAAUACACCAUAGUAUAUUGAGGAGGCAUCUCCUUAAUAUUAAAACUCCGGUGGUUAAAGAUGAGCAUGCGUGACAUUAGCUAGUUGGUGAGGUAACGGCUCACCAAGGCAACGAUGUCUAGGGGAUCUGAGAGGAUUAACCCCCACACUGGAACUGAGACAGGGACCGGACUCCUACGAGCGGCAGCAGUAAGGAAUAUUGGACAGUGGUGGCAAGACUGAUCCAGCCAUGCCGCGUGACGGAUGCCGGCCCUAUGGGUUGUAAACUUCUUUUGUACGGGAAAAAAACCUUCUACGUGUAGAGGGCUGAUUGUACCGUAAGAAUAAGGAUCGGCUAACUCCGUGCCCGCCGCCGCCGUAA
rnacentral:rRNA from 1 species